UCUAAAAUGGCAGAUGAAUGUGAUAGGCUUAGGACCUUUUUAUGGGAAGUAAUUCUCUUUUAGAA
rnacentral:tRNA from 1 species